rnacentral:rRNA from 1 species
UACGUAGGGGGCAAGCGUUAUCCGGAUUUACUGGGUGUAAAGGGAGCGUAGACGGCACUGCAAGUCUGGAGUGAAAGCCCGAGGCCCAACCACGGGACUGCUCUGGAAACUGUCGGACUUGAGUGCAGGAGGGGCAAAUGGAAUUCCUAGUGUAGCGGUGGAAUGCGUAGAUAUUAGGAGGAACACCAGUGGCGAAGGCGAUUUACUGGACUGUAACUGACGUUGAGGCUCGAAAGCGUGGGGAGCAAACAGG